CUCACCAGAAAAAAGAAAAGAAAUCAUUAACCCCAGCUGUGCCAGUUGAAUCUAAACCGGAUAAACCAUCGGGAAAGCAGGCAUGGAUGCUGCUUUGGAUGACUUAAUAGAUACUUUAGGAGGACCUGAAGAAACUGAAGAAGAAAAUACAACGUAUACUGGACCAGAAGUUUCAAUCCAAUGAGUUCCACCUACAUAGAGGAAUUGGGUAAAAGAGAAGUCACAAUUCCUCCAAAAUAUAGGGAACUAUUGGCUAACCCAUAGGGCCAGAUGAUGCUAUAGACGCCUUGUCAUCUGACUUCACCUGUGGGUCGCCUACAGCUGCUGGAAAGAAAACUGAAAAAGAGAAUCUACAGAAGUUUUAAAAGCUCAGUCAGCAGGGACAGUCAGAAGUGCUGCUCCACCCCAAGAGAAGAAAAGAAAGGUGGAGAAG
rnacentral:lncRNA from 1 species